AAGCCUGUAUAAGUCAGGCUGUCUGUCUGUCUGUCUGUCUGUCUUCUUGUCUCUCUCUCUCUCUCUCUCUUUCUCUGUUUCCCUACUGCAGGUCAGGGUGCAGUUUCUCGACUACUUCUCCAGCUCCCUGUCUUCCCGCCGACCACCAUGCUCCCCGCCAUGAUGAAAAUGGACUAACCCUCUGAAACUCAAACCCUUGCUCUCUGUUUCAGAUGCAUUCUACCGGGACUCUCCUCAAGUAUUUAUAGAAACAUGCGCAGCGCUAUGAAUUUACAGCUGUGCACAUGUGCUGUCUUGGCCUUGAACGUGCUGUGCAAACAGAGCAUGAAAUGAAACCGUCGCACCCUGUUUCUCAGGGAAGGGAACCAACGGCUGGGCCAUUCUGGUUUCACAAAAGUCACCUGAAGCCGACUUAGUCUUGAUAUUAGGAGAGGACAAAGCUGCCCCACCGCUUUUGAUGGUUGGAGAGGUUGCGCUCCCCUGUUUCCUUGGCGUCUGCUCAUUUGUUUUCUGCCUAUUCAGAAAUGACGAUUGACGUUCAUCUGUGUCAGCUCUGAAAAAAAAUUCCCAGACCCAAUACCAAAGAUCACAGUCAUCCGAUAAAGUCAUUUGUUGGAUUUUCCUUUUCUGCCUGCUUGACUAUGCAACUAAACAAGCCCAACCACACUUCCGCUCUGCCUCAUAUACCUGCUGUCCCUGACUGCAACCCCAAGCCCAGGAAAGGUCUGAAAGGUGCUGUGUUCAUACAUGUCCUCUUUCCUGUCCAUUCUCACCACUCCUUUUAACUGGACACAUUCAACCCUCCGACUCCCCAUAACCACCCCAUGAGAAGCGAUUACUUUUAAAUUAAGAUAUUUUUAACUAAUAAGCCCAGUAGCAUCUGUUUAUUUUUAGUUUGCAUAGAAAGAGUUACUAUAAGAUAAUAGCAAUUUCAAAGGGAUCCAACCUAUUUUUCCUUCUCCCCAUCACUUUCCCGUCAAAGAAACAAAGGUCUUUGUUUGCAUUCUCUUUGUCUGCAUCCCUCUGUUGUGCACACCCUGCUGGCUUUGUCUUCCUCCUUUCCCAUCCGGCUGUCUGCACCUCCGCAUCCUACCUUUCAUUCCCCUCCUCCUCCCUGCAUCCCUUUCAUCAGGAUCCCUGCCUCUCCUCCCUGACUCUUCGCUGGUGUCAAUGACACUAGAGAGGUUUUACAUUUAUGCUGUACUUUAAAAGGCUGGGCUGGUGCACAUCUCGGUGGUAGAGGACUUGCCUACCAGUCAUGAGACCUCCAGUUCAAUCCCCAGCACUGGAACCAAAAGGAAAGGCCAAUCACCGCUUUCCUCUCAUACCCUCUUUCUUUUGUGGAUUCCUGCCAGCCUUGGUCCUCUCUUCCAUGGCUCAGUAAAACCUCACCCUCUUCUCCUUGCCUGUGUUUCACAGUUAGAUCUGAUAUGCAUCACUCCACAGCUCUUGGUGGGGGUGCCCAUCUCAUCCAGAUGUGGGGGGGGGACCUCUCUGCAUGUGCAUUCCAUUCACACCAUUGCCAUACAGUUAAUCUCAGCUGCAAAACAAAGCACCCGGGUAGCCAAGCAGAUAAAGGUAAGGCAUUGGCAACACAAGCCUCACCACCUAAGUCCAGGUAUGCUCAAAAUAGUAAAUAAAAGUUAUUUCCAGUUACUUUGUCAAGAAUAAGCCUCAAAUCGUGUUGAUCCAUUCAGGUUUCUCUGCACACACUCCUGCCGCUACUUGGUUUAGUCGCAUUGCUUGGACGGCUGGAACACUUCUGGGCUGUGACAGCCUUCUUCUAAGGGUUCCAAGAGAGCUUGUUUGCCCUUACAACUGAUGGCCGCAUCGCUGGAAUGCAUCAUGUGUGAGGACCAGGGCUCUCUCCUGACCAGCCAGCACCAUGAUCACGGGUUUCCCCUUGUUCACAAGCCAUCCAGUCUAAGCAAUCACUGAAGCUUAGUGAAGAAGACCACAGCCGCUCGGAAGACAUUAGCUGAAGGAGCAACUCCACAGCAUUUGAUAUUCCCAGAGACCUCCUGCCACACCCUUCUUAAAGACGUUUACCAAGUCCUUGCUACCUACAAAAUGACAUUGAAAUGACCCAGUGACCCGAGACCCGUACUGUCUCAGAUUUCUCCAGCCUUGUUCAAGUCACCAGUCCCCUUCGCCUUCACAUCAUAUGGAACGCACUAUCCCUCGCACAGCCUGUGACUUCUCAUGAUGGUAGCAUGGCCUAGAAAGCCCCUCCUCCUUCUCUUUCUGGCAACAUUCAUCAUCGCAUGCCCUGAAGAUCAGUCAUUUCCUUGAUCACUGUCACUUCAGUUAUCACAAAGUCGCACCAUGGUGCCUUCCUGUUCUGGGUUUCAUGGGUUUCAAGGCUCCUAAGGCCAAGAAACUGUUACUUAUGCAUCUUGUUGACUGAACUAAACACUUUACAAUGUAAUCUUUGGAAGCCCCUCCUCAAAUUCACCUAGGAUGAUUCCGGGCUGAACUGUGGAACUGCUGGGUCUAUUUGUCGGGGGAGAGGGAAGGAAGAAAUCUCUUGAGUGAUCCCAAUGUUAGAGAACACAUCUACAGUGUCUGGUGAAUAUUCGAAAAAUACAAACAUAAUUGAAGAUACUAAGAUCUCUACUCCUAAAAAAUCUGCCCUCUUUUCUCCUUCUCUCUGGGGUGUAGCUUAUCGGGUGACAGAUCCAGGUAUUUGGCUCAGCACAGAUCAAAGUGACUUAAUAGGAAACAGCUUUGCAUUAUUCUUUAACUGAAUCAUGCAAAGUACCCAUUGUCCUGUCCAAAUGCCAAGCUGCAUUUAGGGUCAUUUAGAGUCCGGAAGAUGGUUGGCUGUGAUAAGAACUCAGACAUUCUUGCUCAAGUGGGAAACUAGCAUUUGUGCACGUGUUCUGCUUUUAGCUCAGCAAAGCCAUGUUCUUAAGUGGCUCACAAGGGUCUUCUAAUGAGCUCUCCAGCUCCCUUUACUGUGCUUAGGAACAAUGAGGAUAAUUCUGUUCUGGUUAACAGUCUUUCCCUGCUGCCUCUGGGUGGACUGUGAACAGGCUUUAGAGAGCUGUUUCAGGCUGUCGAUUAGACUGGUGAACAGUUGUGAGGAUGGCCAAGGCCUGUUUGGCCAAGCAUCUCUAAAAUGCCCUUUGAAGUAUCCCUUUAAUGUUGAUCUCUAGCAUCGUCUUGAGAUAUGUUGUAAAAUGCACCAGGUCAAGAAACAUCACAAAACUCAGGUUAUCUGAGAGACCUCAGGAUGACACAAAGGAUACUUAAAAGACUUUAUUAGCAAAAGAGCAAAUUAUUUUUAAAGACCACAUGGAGUCAGCAGACCUAUUUCUGGUUAUACAACCAAAGGAUUUGACAUUAAGAGGUUAAGAGGUUCAAGUUAUCUGUCUUCCCAAGUUCAUGUAAUAUUCUUCAAUGUUUUUAUUAUUUAUUUCUCUCUUAGGUAACAUACCAUCAGUGAUGAAACUACAAAGCCUUCGUUUCCCA